GCAGGCCACUAUUUCCCCCCUCCUACUCCUCUCGAUCCGCAGCAUCCUCCUGAGAUUGACCUCUGGGGCAGAAGCCCCGGUGGGAGAAUUCCUCGAAAGGGCUCGGAAGACGGAAGGCGGCGGGGAGCCGAUGGAAAUGGCGAAGAUUGGUGCGAAGAAUGCUUAGGGUCGAAAAGGGCGCUGAUGGGUGGCUAAAUUCUCAGGC
rnacentral:lncRNA from 1 species